rnacentral:rRNA from 1 species
UACGGAGGGUGCAAGCGUUGUUCGGAAUUACUGGGCGUAAAGCGCGUGUAGGCGGCUCCCUAAGUCUGAUGUGAGAGCCCGGGGCUCACCCCCGGAAGUGCAUUGGAAACUGGGGAGCUAGAGUACCGGAGAGGAGGGUGGAAUUCCUGGUGUAGCGGUGAAAUGCGUAGAUAUCAGGAGGAACACCGGUGGCGAAGGCGGCCCUCUGGACGGAUACUGA